rnacentral:lncRNA from 1 species
CUUUAGGCCCCUUCGUGAUCAUCUUCCCGGACACUGGAUCCUGCACAACAUAGCCAAAGUGAGAAAAAUGGACAUUAUAAUUGUUGUCAACCAAUUGACACAGAGAUAAGAUUCGUAGAAAGGGUAGGAGAUACAAAAACAUCAGGUAAGGACGGGGAAAGAUCACCAAUAGCACUUAUAGGCAGAGAAUUGCCAUCGGCGGUAUUAAUUUUCAUAUUGCCAUCAUAUUUUUUGACAUUGGAAAGGAGAUCAGUUGUAUUAGUCAUAUGAUUGGAGGCACGGAGUAAAAAAACCAUGGCUUAGAAGAAGUGGAGUGAUUACCCGAGAUUCCAAAAGCAGAAAAAGUCAUCUGUUGUACCAUUUCAGGAGUGAGUGUGUUCGAAUUUGGACUAGGAGCAACUUGCGAGGCAGUAUGCAAUGUAGUAGAACUAGAGGCACUAGUGGAGGCAUGAUAUGCUGUGCUGUGUUUCCUUUCAGGGCGAAUGUGACAAGCUGAGAGAAUAUGACGCGGUUUCUUGCAGUAAUGACAAGAUUUCUUAGGACAAUCUCGAGCAAGGUGACCAAAAACUUUACAGUUAUAGCACUGGACAUUACGCAUGUCCCGAUUCCUAUUCCUCCCUUGUGCUGCAUAAGCUACAGGAAUCGGAGUGUCGACAGCAAUCCUUUGUUCCAAGGUUGCUUGAGUUAAGAUACGUUGUUCUUCACGGAGAAGUUCACUCAAACAUACAUCCAAAGAUGGUACCGGAUGACGAUUCAUCAGAUUAGAACGUGCAAUCUGGAAAUCUGAACGCAGCUUCAUCAAAAAUUGGUCUCUCUUACUUGUUUCAUGCACUUUUUGAACAGCAGAAAGAGCUGCAGCUAGAACAUUAGCAUAAACAAUAUCCGAAUAAUCAGUCCAGAGAUUUUGGAAACUCGAAUAAUAAUCCUCAAUUGAAAGAUUUCCUUGGGUAAAAUUAGCCAUCUCAUAUUCCAAUUGGAAACGCCGAGCCGUAUUGUCCUGCUUGUAAAUCUUGCUCAAGUAAUUCCACAUGUCAUCGGCUGUUUUAUAAGGUCUCAGAUUGAGUACAAUGUGAGGCUCAACCGAGCUAAGAAUUCAUGUCAUAACCUGAGCAUCCUUUAUUUCUCACUUAGACAAAGCAUCGACAUCUGUAGGGGCGGGAUCACUUCCAUCAAUAUGACCCCAUAACUCAUUUCCUUUGACAAAUAAUUGAAAAUGAAACUCCCAAGCAGAAUAAUUCUUUCCAGUAAUACGAAUGUGAAACGAAUUCGAAGACAUGAUGAAAUAAAUAGCCCACUAUAUUAUUACUGAACAAAUAAAAUACUCUUGCAAGAAGAAAGAUUAUUAAAUUCAAACAAUGCAACGACUGUAGCCUUAAAGCCAAACGGUAAAUUGACCCACUAACCAGAGGAACCCUCGCCGGAAGAGGAGACCUAAACAACUGAGAGAGUCGAUUGGGAAGAGAAGACUAGAAAUCCGACAGAACCCAUCACAAACAGAGACCCACUGGAAUCUGAAUAGGAAGAACUGAACAGUGUCGCCAGAACUAGAACCCGGCAGAACAAGGACCCAAAAAGGCACACCAAAAGUCGGCGAUCAGAAGCGCCGAAUCACACACUAAGAAUCGAUGACCAGAAGCGCCAAAUCGUACACUAAGAAUCGACGACCAGAAGCGCCGAAUCGCACAUCAAGAAUCGGCGACCAGAAUCGCCGAACACAACCCAGAUGGAGUCGCCCAAGGAGAAUCGACAGCAAGAAUCAGGUACCAAGCUCUGAUACCAUGUCAGAUGAAUUCUGAAUUCAAUAGAAAGAAAUAGCUUUUGAGAUUUCUUGAAAAACUGUCUCUCUUA